GACGAACGCUGGCGGCGUGCUUAACACAUGCAAGUCGAACGGAAAGGCCCUGCUUUUGUGGGGUGCUCGAGUGGCGAACGGGUGAGUAACACGUGAGUAACCUGCCCUUGACUUUGGGAUAACUUCAGGAAACUGGGGCUAAUACCGGAUAGGAGCUCCUGCUGCAUGGUGGGGGUUGGAAAGUUUCGGCGGUUGGGGAUGGACUCGGGGCUUACCAGCUUGUUGGUGGGGUAGUGGCUUACCAAGGCUUUGAAGGGUAGCCGGCCUGAGAGGGUGACCGGCCACAUUGGGACUGAGAUACGGACCAGACGCCUACGGGAGGCAGCAGUGGGGAAUAUGGCACAAUGGGCGGAAGCCUGAUGCAGAAACGCCGGGAGCGGGAUGACGGCCUUCGGGUUGUAAACCGCUUUCGCCUGUGACGAAGCGUGAGUGACGGUAAUGGGUAAAGAAGCACCGGCUAACUACGUG
rnacentral:rRNA from 1 species